CAUCGCCGCGGUAAUACGGAGGGGGCUAGCGUUGUUCGGAAUUACUGGGCGUAAAGCGCACGUAGGCGGCUUUGUAAGUUAGAGGUGAAAGCCUGGGGCUCAACUCCAGAAUUGCCUUUAAGACUGCAUCGCUUGAACGUCGGAGAGGUGAGUGGAAUUCCGAGUGUAGAGGUGAAAUUCGUAGAUAUUCGGAAGAACACCAGUGGCGAAGGCGGCUCACUGGACGACUGUUGACGCUGAGGUGCGAAAGCGUGGGGAGCAAACAGGAUUAGAUACCCCUGUAGUCCCUGUCUCUUAUACA
rnacentral:rRNA from 1 species